UACGUAGGGGGCGAGCGUUACCCGGAUUUACUGGGCGUAAAGAGCGUGUAGGCGGCUGGCCAAGCGUGAUGUGAAAUCUUCGGGCUUAACCCGAAAACUGCAUUGCGAACUGGUCUGGCUAGAGUGUGUGAGAGGGUAGUGGAAUUCCCGGUGUAGCGGUGAAAAUGCGUAGAUAUCGGGAGGAACACCAGUGGCGAAGGCGGCUACCUGGCCACAUAAACGUGACGCUGAUACGGGCGAAAA
rnacentral:rRNA from 1 species